UACAGAGGUCUCAAGCGUUGUUCGGAUUCAUUGGGCGUAAAGGGUGCGUAGGCGGCGCGGUAAGUCGGGUGUGAAAUCUUGGAGCUUAACUCCGAAACUGCAUUCGAUACUGCCGUGCUUGAGGACUGGAGAGGAGACUGGAAUUUACGGUGUAGCAGUGAAAUGCGUAGAGAUCAUGAGGAAGACCAGUGGCGAAGGCGGGUCUCUGGACAGUUCCUGACACUGAGGCACGAAGGCCAGGGGAGCAAACGGG
rnacentral:rRNA from 1 species